CCUACGGGGGGCAGCAGUAGGGAAUUUUCGGCAAUGGGGGGAACCCUGACCGAGCAACGCCGCGUGAAGGAAGAAGGAAUUCGUUCUGUAAACUUCUGUUAUAAAGGAAGAAAGACGGAUGGAGGAAAUGACAUCCGAGUGACGGUACUUUAUGAGAAAGCCACGGCUAACUACGUGCCAGCAGCCGCGGUAAUACGUAGGUGGCAAGCGUUAUCCGGAAUUAUUGGGCGUAAAGAGGGAGCAGGCGGCAGCAAAGGUCUGUGGUGAAAGACUGAAGCUUAACUUCAGUAAGCCAUAGAAACCGG
rnacentral:rRNA from 1 species